GGAAUCUUGCACAAUGGAGGAAACUCUGAUGCAGCGAUGCCGCGUGAGUGAAGAAGGCCUUUGGGUUGUAAAGCUCUUUUGUAGGGGAAGAUAAUGACUGUACCCUAAGAAUAAGGUCCGGCUAACUUCGUGCCAGCAGCCGCGGUAAUACGAAGGGACCUAGCGUAGUUCGGAAUUACUGGGCGUAAAGCGCGCGUAGGCCGUUGAGUUAGUUAAUUGUGAAAUCCCAAAGCUUAACUUUGGAACUGCAAUUAAAACUGCUCGACUAGAGUUUGAUAGAGGAAAGCGGAAUACAUAGUGUAGAGGUGAAAUUCGUAGAUAUUAUGUAGAACACCAGUUGCGAAGGCGGCUUUCUGGAUCAACACUGACGCUGAGGCGCGAAAGUAUGGGUAGCAAAGAGGAUUAGAUACCCUCGUAGUCCAUACCAUAAACGAUGAUUGCUAGAUGUUGGAAAUUUAUUUUCAGUAUCGCAGCUAACGCAUUAAGCAGUCCGCCUGGGGAGUACGACCGCAAGGUUAAAACUCAAAUGAAUUGACGG
rnacentral:rRNA from 1 species